UACGUAGGGUGCAAGCGUUAAUCGGAAUUACUGGGCGUAAAGCGAGUGUAGGCGGUCUGUUAAGUCGGGUGUGAAAGCCCUGGGCUCAACCCAGGAAGUGCACUCGAAACUGGCGGGCUAGAGUAUCGGAGAGGUUGGUGGAAUUCUCGGUGUAGCGGUGAAAUGCGUAGAUAUCAGGAGGAACACCUGUGGCGAAAGCGGCUCACUGGACCAUAACUGACGCUGAUGCACGAAAGCUAGGGGAGCAAACAGG
rnacentral:rRNA from 1 species